UUUGCUUUGAUGUCAGCUUUCUCUCAUACUGCAUGAGCCAUCUGUUCAGUCUCAAAGUACUUCUUUUUGCCUUUAGCUAAAUCUUUCACUGUCUCUUGUAAUUCAGUUUGGAUCUUUGUCAACUGGUCCACACACUCAUAUCUUCAAGUA